rnacentral:rRNA from 1 species
UACAGAGGUCCCGAGCGUUGUUCGGAUUUAUUGGGCGUAAAGGGUGCGUAGGCGGCGGAGUAAGUUGGGUGUGAAAUCCCGAGGCUCAACCUCGGAAUUGCAUUCAAUACUGCUUCGCUCGAGUACUGGAGAGGAGGCUGGAAUUUACGGUGUAGCAGUGAAAUGCGUAGAUAUCGUAAGGAAGGCCGGUGGCGAAAAGCGAGCCUCUGGACAGUUACUGACGCUGAUGCACGGAAG